rnacentral:rRNA from 1 species
AGGACGAACGCUGGCGGCGUGCCUAACACAUGCAAGUCGAACGGGGGUAGCAAUACCCCAGUGGCGAACGGGUGCGUAACACGUGAAGAACUUGUCCAUCGGCGGGGGAUAGCCGGCCCAACGGCCGGGUAAUACCGCGUACGUCGUCUGGAGCGCAUGCUCUGGCCGGGAAAGCAGCAAUGCACCGAUGGAGAGCUUCGCGGCCUAUCAGCUUGUUGGCGGGGUAACGGCCCACCAAGGCAACGACGGGUAGCCGGCCUGAGAGGGCGACCGGCCACACUGGGACUGAGACACGGCCCAGACUCCUACGGGAGGCAGCAGUGGGGAAUAUUGCGCAAUGGGCGGAAGCCUGACGCAGCGACGCCGCGUGAGGGAUGACGGGCCUCGGGUUGUAAACCUCUUUCAGCUCUGACGAAGCGCAAGUGACGGUAGGAGCAGAAGAGCACCGGCCAACUACGCGCCAGCAGCCGCGGUAA